ensembl:lncRNA
AUGGAACAAGAAUGGAACUUUUUUGUAAAUCCAAAUGGAAAACUCCUGAUAGGCAUCAGUCUUCAAGAUAAUUGUGAGAAGACACUGCAUGUUCUCAGAGUGAACAAGCUAAAGGAUCUUCUUAGCUGUUGAAGGUCUGUGAAACUGAAGUUUGUUAAAACAGCUGUAGAUUCUGAUGUCUGUUUCCACGAGUCCUGCAGAGUAUGCGACACACAGACGAUAACUGCCACCACACCAUGAGAAGUGUCUCUCUCUCUCACACACACACACACACACACACACACUUGAGUAAAUAAAAACUCACAAGAAGUUCACGAUGUUUUAAAAAAAAAAUAAUUUUAAUGUCAAAAUAGUUUCUCCCCCACUUGUCACGGGUCUGUAAGGGCACUUGUCGGGGGUCACCAAGACCACUUGUUGCGGGUCUGUAAGGGCACUUGUCGGGGUCACCAAGACCACUUGUUGCGGGUCUGUAAGGGCACUUGUCGGGGUCACCAAGACUACUUGUUGCGGGUCUGUAAGGGCACUUGUCGGGGUUCACCAAAACCACUUGUUGCGGGUCUGUAAGAGCCCUUGUCGGGGUCACCUAAACCACUUGUUGCGGGUCUGUAAGAGCACUUGUCAGAGGUCAACAAGACUCCUUGUCGGGGGUCACCAAGACCACUUGUUGCGGGUCUGUAAGGGCACUUGUCAGAGUUCACCAAGACUCCUUGUCGGGGGUUACCAAGACCACUUGUCGGGGUCUGUAAGGACACUUGUCGGGGGUCACCAAGACCACUUGUUGCGAGUCUGUAAGAGCACUUGUCGGCGUCACCAAGACCACUUGUCGUGGGUCUGUAAGGGCACUUGUCGGGGUUUGUAAGGGAACUUGUCAGAGGUCACCAAGACCCCUUGUCGGGGUCUGUAAGGGCACUUGUCAGAGGUCACCAAGACCCCUUGUCACGGGUAUGUAAGGGCACUUGUCAGAGGUCACCAAGGCCCCUUGUCGGGGUCUGAAGGAGCACAUGUCAGAGGUCACCAAGGCCCCUUGUCGCGGGUCUGUAAGGGCACUUGUUGGAGGUCACCAAGACCUUGAUUCUUGAAAAAGACAAAGCUGACGAGUUUCCUGUGGUGGUUGAAUCAGGUGUAGAUCUGUUAAGUAAUGACAUACCUUUUCCUCUGUGGAUUUAAGAAGACUUACUGUAAAAAAAAAAAAAAACAUAGGUUUCUAGAAAAUUCUACGAGAUGCACUGAUCCCACUCCAGUCUGCUUUCUCCCUGCAGAUGUCCGUCCAAAAUUAGCAACGACACUAAAGUGUUGACAAUAUAUAGGCUUCGUCUCCACCCACUUGUGCACUUUUGUCUCCGCCCACAAGCUGUACUCACCAGAACAGUACAACAUCCAUCAUUACAAACCUGAUGGAGGGUGUUAGAAAGCAAGUGUUCAGGCAUUCAAGGCAUUGUGACAGUGAUAAAGUUAUCGGCACACAUCGGCACACAUUUGUUGGUUCAGUCUGCCUGCCUAAAAUUAUACAUUCAUUUGAUCAAGACAAAAAUGUAAAUUCUCUCAUCAUUUACUCACCAUCAUGUCAUUACAAAAUCUCCAACUUUUCGGUGCAAAACAAAAGUCCUGUGUACUUUCACUUCCCUACUACAUUCAUACCAAUAAAAUUGAAUCACUAUAUAUCCCAGUAAAACAGUGUUAAAUAUCACAGAGCAUUAGCAAAACUCUCAUUAAACACAGACUGCUGUUCAAACAUGUAAUGAGCUGAGGCACAGGAUGACAUCAGCUGCCAUCAAAAGGGGCUAUACAAUCCAACAUGGUGUCAAACUUGCCCAUCUGAGAAUAUGCGAGAAAGUUAAACAACAUCCUGUCAACUGAAAUCAUAUGAAAACAUGCAGUUGAUUCAAUCAAGCUUCAAAU